AUGGUAGCUCAGUGGCAGAACAUCUGCCUUACAUGCAGACGGUCCUGGGUUCAAUAAUCAGCAUCUCUG